rnacentral:lncRNA from 1 species
CAGAUAGUAUGUAAAUGCAAAGAGUAUUUUAUUCUGCCGAAGUCCACCAUGCUGCAGACUCCCAUUACCAGAAUAGAGAGACGCCCAAGUGAGCUCACAAGCCUGAUUUAAAGCAUAUUAGGGAAUCCUGGGGCAGGUGACCUCUAUGUUAAUCUGUUAGGUCCAUCUCUAAGGAUAUUCCAUUAUGCAGGUUGGGGCUGGGAACCUGCUGGGGAGGACUGGAAAGGGCUACUGACCUGUUGUCCUUGCCUGAGGCCAGGUGUCAGGGCAGCUUCUGAGGCCUGGACUUUCCCAGUUUUUGGAAACAGAGAUUUAGGCCUGGUCUCUUCAACUGCCAAUUUGAAGCCUGUCAUGGAAUCAGUCUAGUCUUCUCAAAGUGAAACUUAGACCAUGGCUAUUUUAUUUGGCUUUGACAAUAACUGGAAGGUAACCUCUAAUCUACUCUUCUAACUGCUGGCCUGACUACCCUCCCACCCCCCAGCAGUGUACCCCAGAUACUUGCUGUUUCUCCCAGCCAUGUGCUCUUUGGCCAUCUCCCCUCAAGGCGGCUUCAUCUUCCUCCUCCUCAUCCUCUACCUCCUCUUCCUCCUCCUCUCUCCUCUCCAUCCUCCACCCCCAACCAGGUAACUCAAAACCCACCUGCCUCCAACCCCUCCAGUAAUUGGCUGUAGCCCAUUUUAUUUAACCAAUAGUUUUAAAUUACGGAAAAAGGUUUGCACAACAAAAGCCGUUAACCGUGAGAAUUCACUCCUAGGCCUAGACCUUCUGGUGCAGAAUUUAGGAUUACAACGCACAGCAACAGACCAAACCUCAACAGGGAACAGGAAAGGGUGCAGGGAGGACUAUCAGAGGUGUCCUUCAACAGAGAAACAAGGCAAGAAAUGCGUCUGUGAAAAGCCGGAGAGAUGGCUUGGUGGACACCAAGAGAACAGGGAAACGGCUGCAUGUGAAGGGCUGUGCAAGCAAGCCUUUGAAGACUAGACAGCACACUGUCCCUUCAAAUGAGACCAACUCUUACCCUCUGAAGAAAAAGCCAUGCCACCUGAAACACCCAUCAUUUCACUAAGGUGGGUUGUUCCCUCUGGAGAGCUAUUAAAGGGGAUAGCUCUGAUUCUAUUAAAUGUAAUUUUUCCAGAGUAAGACUACACACAACUGGAGAGUAAAUGUCACAAAGGAAAAUGAGGAAAUAAGAUGAGCCCAAAUUACAAAAAAGAAAAAAGAAAAGGGACAAUGGGAUAGAGGACAGGAGAGGAAGGCAAGAGGGCAUGAAGGCCAAUGGUGCCUGGAAGUCCACAGAAGCCUGCUGUGGACUUGAAGGAGCACCGAGCUAUUCACUGUGCUUCCUGUGUUCCUGGCUCCUGGAUGUGGGGCCAU